CUUUCUCCUCUGUUUAUUGUGGCUAUUUUUUGUUCCUAACAAGAUUCACUCGACACACAGAGUAGAGAAAAUGCUAUCAGCUCAGGAAAAAGAGAAAAGAAAAAGAAGUUGGUCAGCUAAUAAUAGCUCCCUUUGCAGGCACUCUCAGAUCCAAACAUCAUCCGCUACAACACCUCCUCCUAUGCUCACCCCCCAUCUGUUCUUCUGCUAGAAAAGGAUGGAAAAAGAAGGGUAAGCAGAAGCAGGAGAAAUGGGGAGAUGCUGCAGGAGUCGGGAGGAAAGGAACAGAUGAUGGUGUUUGCUUGAUGCUGAGCAGGCUCGGAGAUGGAGAUGGCAGACAUGUCUGCCACUUCUGUGUGGCCAUGCGUGGGACAGCUUCAUCCCUCCUCCCCCAACUUGACCUGCUGUAGCCCCUCAGACUGACAUCGGCAGAAAGCCUGUUGUUUUGUCUCAAAAACUCCUCCUCAGCCAAAGGUCAAGGUUCAGCCAGCAGCGGGUGGGAGAGACCGCUCCAUAUGGAGUUUGAAAGAGAACUGAAGUGGCUGCACUGUGAGUUAAUUUCAUGUCAAUAAAUGUUCUUGAGGUAUUUGCUGUUUUGAUAUGCCGCAGGAGUUUCCUCCUGUUCUUAUGUCAAUUCACCAAUGCACCAUGGUUUCAUAUCCCACUCAAGCUGCAGCUAAUGCUGCAUCCAAAAACACCUGAAACCAUAAGGAGAGGACAUUGAGGUUUGCAAGACAUUUUCACAUGCAAAAAGUAGUUUAUGCCUUUAAUCUCGCUUCAUGCAGGAGAUUUAUAGUUGAAUAAUCAAAGGCAUUAAAGGUCUGCUUUGC